UACGUAGGGAGCGAGCGUUAUCCGGAAUUAUUGGGCGUAAAGCGUGCGUAGGCGGUUUUUUAAGUCAAAUGUGAAAGCCCACAGCUUAACUGUGGAGGGUCAUUUGAAACUGCUGAGCUUGAGUGCAGGAGAGGCAAGUGGAAUUCCUAGUGUAGCGGUGAAAUGCGUAGAUAUUAGGAGGAACACCAGUGGCGAAGGCGGCCACCUGGACAGGUACUGACGCUGAGGUGCGAAAGUGUGGGGAGCAAAC
rnacentral:rRNA from 1 species